AGUGAAGUAUUUGUGGGAGAUGAUUGAGAAGCAAAGAUCGGCUGAAUUCAUUACUUAUAGGACAGUGCUCGAUGAAAUCUGCAGACAAGGAAGGGUGGGAGAGGCAAUGAGGUUGUUGAAGGAGUUCCAAGAGAAAGAUCUUCUGAAUGGGCAUACUUACAGGAAGCUUCUAUAUGUGCUUGAAGAUGACUAUGGAGAUUCGAGUGCCCACUCUCAAUUCAGAUAAACUGAGUUCUAAAAGUUGCUCUCUUUUACUGUUGAAGUUAAGCCAUUGCAUCACUACAUAGAGUUUGACAAUCACGAAAAAUGUUGCCAUUUGGUUGAAAAUCAGUAUAGGCAAUAAUAACAUUUUAGCUCACCUCAAACAGUGCUGUUAAGAAAUCAGCACAACCCACUCUACGAGAGCUUGCUGCCAAGUAUGUAUUCACCGGCAUCUCUUCCACUGGCACAUGCUCUCGUGGCAUCCUCCUCCUCGUCCAGGAUAAAUCCAAGUGAUCUGGAAGGCUCUUUACUCCAAUUGGUCCAAGAGCACCACCACGCCUCCGUCACAAUCCACAAACUCACUGAGAAGGCACAGAAUGAAGCCACUAAAAGGCAGUGUGUGUGGCAGAGCUUCUGGUGGAAGCAGUGAACGGUGGGGUGAAAGAGUUGUUUAUAAACGAGAAACGAAUUGAGCUUGAAAUACGGGCAUUGACUGCCACCAUUUCCUCCUUCAUCAAACAGACUGAUUGGUGGCUCUCACUCACUCGUUCUAUUAACACUGCCAUUAAGGAAAUCGGGGACUUUGAGAACUGGAUGAAGAUAAUGGAAUUUGAUUCUAAAAGCAUCAAUGCAGCUAUCCACAAUAUUCACCAAGCAUAAUCGCACAGGUCACAGCAAGUUGUUUCAACCGUCACCGUUCUAUUUUUGUUUCUCAGUGAAGUACCUUAAUCAUGGAGUAACUUAGUACUGCACUACAUAGGCUUUCUUCUCCCCCGCCCCUAUUAAUGUCCAAAUUUGUUUUACGGGCACUGUGCACUUUGCCUUCACCAAGAGCUCUACAACAAGGGAAAAGGAAAGGAGGGUUUAGUAAUGGGGAGGCACUACUUGCAUUCGAAGUUUUAUCACUGUGCACUUUUCCUC